rnacentral:rRNA from 1 species
GAUGAACGCUGGCGGCGUGCCUAAUACAUGCAAGUCGAGCGAACAGAUAAGGAGCUUGCUCCUUUGACGUUAGCGGCGGACGGGUGAGUAACACGUGGAUAACCUACCUAUAAGACUGGGAUAACUUCGGGAAACCGGAGCUAAUACCGGAUAACAUAUUGAACCGCAUGGUUCAAUAGUGAAAGGCGGCUUUGCUGUCACUUAUAGAUGGAUCCGCGCCGUAUUAGCUAGUUGGUAAGGUAACGGCUUACCAAGGCAACGAUACGUAGCCGACCUGAGAGGGUGAUCGGCCACACUGGAACUGAGACACGGUCCAGACUCCUACGGGAGGCAGCAGUAGGGAAUCUUCCGCAAUGGGCGAAAGCCUGACGGAGCAACGCCGCGUGAGUGAUGAAGGUCUUCGGAUCGUNAAACUCUGUUAUCAGGGAAGAACAAAUGUGUAAGUAACUGUGCACAUCUUGACGGUACCUGAUCAGAAAGCCACGGCUAACUACGUGCCAGCAGCCGCGGUAAUACGUAGGUGGCAAGCGUUAUCCGGAAUUAUUGGGCGUAAAGCGCGCGUAGGCGGUUUUUUAGUCUGAUGUGAAAGCCCACGGCUCAACCGUGGAGGGUCAUUGGAAACUGGAAAACUUGAGUGCAAAAGAGGAAGGUGGAAUUCCAUGUGUAGCGGUGAAAUGCGCAGAGAUAUGGAGGAACACCAGUGGGGAAGGCGACUUUCUGGUCUGUAACUGACGCUGAUGUGCGAAAGCGUGGGGAUCAAACGAGGAUUAGAUACCCUGGUAGUCCACGCCGUAAACGAUGAGUGCUAAGUGUUAGGGGGUUUCCGCCCCUUAGUGCUGCAGCUAACGCAUUAAGCACUCCGCCUGGGGAGUACGACCGCAAGGUUGAAACUCAAAGGAAUUGACGGGGACCCGCACAAGCGGUGGAGCAUGUGGUUUAAUUCGAAGCAACGCGAAGAACCUUACCAAAUCUUGACAUCCUUUGGCCGCUCUAGAGAUAGAGUCUUCCCCUUCGGGGGACAAAGUGACAGGUGGUGCAUGGUUGUCGUCAGCUCGUGUCGUGAGAUGUUGGGUUAAGUCCCGCAACGAGCGCAACCCUUAAGCUUAGUUGCCAUCAUUAAGUUGGGCACUCUAAGUUGACUGCCGGUGACAAACCGGAGGAAGGUGGGGAUGACGUCAAAUCAUCAUGCCCCUUAUGAUUUGGGCUACACACGUGCUACAAUGGACAAUACAAAGGGCAGCUAAACCGCGAGGUCAAGCAAAUCCCAUAAAGUUGUUCUCAGUUCGGAUUGUAGUCUGCAACUCGACUACAUGAAGCUGGAAUCGCUAGUAAUCGUAGAUCAGCAUGCUACGGUGAAUACGUUCCCGGGUCU